UUAAGGGUUUAUCACAGAACAAACUUACAAUAAGAAACCACAAUUUCCAAUACUAUCAGUGUCACAAAUCUCCCCCAGGACUCUGUCCCGUGCUCUGAGCCCCGAUCUCUCCUCACGCCUGUCACUACAGAUCUUGCUAUAUAGCAGGAGACAUGCAAAUAGAGCCCUCCCUCUGCUGAUGAAAACGAGCCCAGCCCUGACCUGCAGCUCUGGGAGAGGAGCCCAGCCCUGGGAUUGUCAGGUGUUUGCAUUUGGUGAUCAGCGCAGAACACAGAGACUGAACUCACCAUGGAGUUUGUGCUGAGCUGGGUUUUCCUUGUUGCUAUUUUAAAAGGUGUCCAGUGUGAGGUGAAGCUGGUGGAGUCUGGGGGAGGCUUGGUUCAGCCCGGGGGGUCCCUGAGACUCUCCUGUGCAGCCUCUGGAUUCACCUUCAGUAGCUACUGGAUGAGCUGGGUCCGCCAGGCUCCAGGGAAGGGUCUGGAGUGGGUCUCACUCAUUAGUAGUGGCAGUGGUGGUAGCACAUACUACGCAGACUCCGACAACGCCAAGAACUCGCUGUAUCUGCAGAUGAACAGCCUGAGAGCUGAGGACACGGCCGUGUAUUACUGUGCGAGAGACACAGUGAGGGGAAGUCAGUGUGAGCCGGGACACAAACCUCCUGCACGAACACUCGGGGGAAUGAGCUGCGGGGGGCGCUCGGGAGCCACUGAUCAGCGUCAACCCCAGAGGCAGGUGCAGAUGGAGGCUGAUUUCCCGUCAGGAUGUGGGACUUCAUCUUCUGACAGUUUCUCUAGUGAAUCUCUCUAAAUUUAGAAUUCUGUGCUUCCUAAUAUUAUCUCUACCUUUUUUUGUAAGGAUUGAGAUAGAAGAAAGAAAAGCUCCAAAGCUCUGUCCAUUCUUUCAGGAAUGACAGCCUCAUCUCCCACCUCCUCUCAU